rnacentral:lncRNA from 1 species
CUAAAUAUUUGGGGGCCAGUUAUUCUAGAUAUGACAUCAACUCUUUACUUGGAAUCUUUUAAAGCUUGGAAGGGUGUAUGUGGACUUCUGACACUAAACAGACUAACAAAAAGGAAUAUAAAAUGUAUCAUGGAGAAUAUUAUUGGUCACUUGUGAAGCAUAUGAAGUAGAUAAGGAAAAUAUCUCCUUUUUCUUAAAAGUAGAUUCCUAAAGAUUGAGAUGGUAGAGUCUUUCCAGAAAUGGCCAGACAGAGGCAAAGACCUGGGAGAACACGCUCCCAACAGAACACGACAAGGAAGGAUGUUCAAGAAGAAAAACAUAAACCUGUCCUUUACAAUUGUACCUCUGGAUAUAAAUUCUGAAACACCAAGAAAUUUCAGUGUGAAAGACAGCUUACUUACAUUAAGGUAACACUGAAGUCUAGUAAGUCAUGUUAUUGUUAUCAUCCAUCACCAGCACUUGGAAAACAUUCUUACUUUGCUUGGAAUCAGAAACCUGCUCUGGGACUUUUACCACCACUCAUGUGGAUGUCCUACUCAGCCUGCUCCGGUAUGUUCCCGGUCAGUGUUUUCUGUUCCUGGACAGAGACCCUCUUUACCCUGCAGAGCUUUGAAACUCCAUGCUGGGUUACUGACCCCUGGCCUCGACAUAGGUGCAUAGCCUCAAACCACACAUGGCUUAACUAGUAAUUUUGCUCUGAAUCAGUGCAGAAGGAAGGAAGAAUGGCAAGAAGGGUAGAGGGCAGGAAGGGAGAAAAGCAAGAAGUCAAAAGAGAACAUAUGCAUGGAAAAAUGAAGCCCCUUCAGCUUUUUUAUGCUUACUGCUUGCACAGUAUAUAUAUUUUCAUCUCUUUACUUUUAAGAGAUCUGUGUUUUAAUACAUAAAGUUUGCCUCUUUCAGAAAGCAUUGGUUCUAAAUUUCACAUCCAAUAAUGAUCUCUGCCUUUUGCAUUAUAUUAAUUUUUGCUAUUAUGAUAACAGUAUAUGUCUUUGGUUUUCCACAGUUAUUUAGAGUUAAAAAUAGAGGACUCAAUAUAAAACAUUACAACUUUGCAGUAAUACUGUUUCAUUUUUUUCAGCUUUAUUAAGGUACAGUUGAUAUAUAAAAAUUGCACAUAUUUAAUGUAUACACUUUGGUGAGUUGCAAUAUACAUCCACUGGUAAUGCUAUAACCACCAUCAAGGAAAGAAACAUAUCUAUCAUCUCCAAAAGAUUUCAUAUGUCCUUUUUAUUAUUUUUUUAUGUUUAUUUAUUUAUUUUGAGAGAAAGGGUGUGCAUGUAUGACAGCAGGGGAGGGACAGAAAGAGAGGGAGAGAAUCCUAAACAGGCUCCAUACUGUCAGUGUGGAGCCCUAUGUGGGCCUGAUGUGGG